CUACUCCCCUGUGUCGCCUUGCCUCCACGACUCGGCCGCGUCGACGGGAGACAAACAGGAUUAGACUACCCUGGUACGUCCACGACCGUAAACGAUGUCUACUAGCUGUUCGUGGUCUUGUACCGUGAGUAGCGCAGACUAACGCAUUAAGUAGACCNCCGUGGGAGUACGGUCGACAGAAUUAAACUACAAUAGUAUGAGGGGCCCGCACAAGCGGUGGAGCAUGUGGUUUAAUUCGACGCAACGCGAAGAACCUUACCUACUCUUGACAUCUACAGAACUUAGCAGAGAUGCUUUGGUGCCUUCGGGAACUGUAAGACAGGUGCUGCAUGGCUGUCGUCAGCUCGUGUUGUGAAAUGUUGGGUUAAGUCCCGCAACGAGCGCAACCCU
rnacentral:rRNA from 1 species